rnacentral:lncRNA from 1 species
CAGACUGAGGUUGAGUCCGAAUCAGUGCACUUGUGGAGUGUUGUCCGGUAAGUUGUCGAGGCUUAUUAGGAACGAAAGAGGAAUCGAGGUCGAUCCUGCUAAAAAAAAAUGAAAAAAAAGAAAAGAAAAAAUGAAAAAGGAAAAGAAAAAAAGUAAAAAGAAAGAAAGAAAAAAAAAGGAAAAAAACAAUACCAGAAAUGCCUGAACCG